UACAAUUUGAGAAUUACAACUUGCGCAUGGACCACUAACAAACCAUGCACGGUUUGCAUCCCUAUCCCACAAAAUCCCUCAAAUUCCUUCUCAAAUUUCCACCUUGCACGUGAUCAUAACAGACUCACAAUUCCCUCAUUUUCCUCACACGAUUCAUCACACAAACUCAAAAAAAAACAUUAAAAACAACCGUAUCACUCUCCUCUCCCUCUAUCUCAAGUCCGUUUUACCCAAUUUCUAACGUAGAGACCAAAUAGAGCAGAUAAAUGUAAGAACCCUAAAACGAAAAUCAACAAUUAAACGCUGCUCAAGAGGAAUCUGAGCCCAAGAUGUUGGGGCUUUGAUUCCUCGUGCCUCGGGCUACAUGGUGGUAACGCACAAUGGAAGAAAAAAGCUUACCUAGGAGGCGGCGCGGUGCUCCGUUGCGAGUCGAAUUUGAAGGUAAAGAUGAACUCAGGCCAUGCUUGAGAGGAUCAUCACUUUGACAAUGGCAUUGCAACUAAGUUGAUUCUGGAUUGUUGUUAGUAGGGAUGUUACAAGCUUAGAAUGACAUGGUGAGGGAAGUUGGCAUGAAGAUGAUGAAUGCUUGGAGGCAAAGUGGGAAUCAUGAAGUUUGGUCAUGGAUAUUGAUGGAAUGGAGUUUGGACAUGAAACUUGAUAAUGCAACCUGGCGAUUAGGAUGCUUAUAGGUUUAGAGUUAAGGGUUUGAUUUUGGCCAACUGGUUGACCAAAAAGUCAACAGUUGACCAAAAAGUCAACAACUGACCAAAGUCAUAUGUAGGUCAAAAGUAAACUGACCAAAGUCAUAUGUAGCUCAAAAGUUUGGUUUUUUUUUUUAUGUAUUUUCAAGAUUUGGAUGUUGUAACAUGGUUUGGUAUUUAUGUAAUGAGAAUUACUCUUUUGAAAUGAAUUGUAACUUAUGUCCAAGCAAACCUUUUUCCUUCCACA